AAAAAGAAAGGAGGAGGAAGAAGUAGAAGCGGCGGAGAAGUGCUGAGGGCGUGUGGAUUCGACCCAAAAGCAAAUCUGAUCGUUGAGGAAGAUGAUGCUCCUCACAUCUCAUUCGCAUGUAGUUUUCAAUCUGAAUCCUCGGCUUCUCGCUGCUCCUCUUUCUCAGCCCCUUCUCCAUCUCUCUGUCUCUCUGUCUCUCUCUGUCUCUCUCUCUCUGCCUGCUCUCAUCUGUCUGUUCUGAAUGGAUAGAUGGAUGCAGGGUAAGCUCCAACUGGCCUUAUGAUGGUGUUGAAUAACUUCUCUGAAGGCUCAGACUCUUCCCCCCCCUCUCUCUCUCUCUCUCUCUCGAUCUCGACUUGGUUUAAUUUGCCCGAAGCCCUUUUCGAUCUUUGUAGUUGUGAAAUUGUGGAUCCUUAGACAGUGGCGGGCGUGGGAAAUUCGUUGAAAGUUCAUAGAUUUUUAGCGUUAUAUUUUGCAGAAACUGUUGUUUUGGUCUUGUUCUUCGUUUUGCUGCUAGCGUGGAGGAAUUGUGCAAAAAAUGUUUCCUUGCUCA